rnacentral:rRNA from 1 species
UCCGCUGGCGGCAUGCUAACACAUGCAAGUCGAACGAGACCUUCGGGUCUAGUGGCGCACGGGUGCGUAACGCGUGGGAAUCUGCCCUUGUGGUUCGGAAUAACAGUUAGAAAUGACUGCUAAUACCGGAUGAUGACUUCGGUCCAAAGAUUUAUCGCCCAGGUAUGAGCCCGCGUAGGAUUAGCUUGUUGGUGAGGUAAGAGCUCACCAAGGCGACGAUCCGUAGCUGGUCUGAGAGGACGACCAGCCACACUGGGACUGAGACACGGCCCAGACUCCUACGGGAGGCAGCAGUGGGGAAUUUUGGACAAUGGGGGCAACCCUGAUCCAGCCAUGCCGCGUGUGUGAAGAAGGCCUUCGGGUUGUAAAGCACUUUCGGACGGAACGAAAUCGCGCGGGCGAAUAUCCCGCGUGGAUGACGGUACCGUAAGAAGAAGCACCGGCUAACUACGUGCCAGCAGCUGCGGUAAUACGUAGGGUGCGAGCGUUAAUCGGAAUUACUGGGCGUAAAGUGUGCGCAGGCGGCGGAGCAAGUCGAGUGUGAAAGCCCCGGGGCUUAACUAGGGAAUUG